UACGGAGGGUGCGAGCGUUGUCCGGAAUCACUGGGCGUAAAGGGCGCGUAGGCGGCGCGAGCAGUCGAUCGUGAAAGUCCGGAGCUCAACUCCGGAUCGGCGGUCGAUACUCUCGUGCUUGAGCACUGUAGAGGCAGAUGGAAUUCCGGGUGUAGCGGUGGAAUGCGUAGAGAUCCGGAAGAACACCAGUGGCGAAGGCGGCCUGCUGGGCAGUUGCUGACGCUAAAGCGCGACAGCGUGGGGAGCAAACAGG
rnacentral:rRNA from 1 species